CGGGAAGUAGCUCAGCUUGGUAGAGCGCUUCGUUCGGGACGAAGAGGUCGUAGGUUCAAAUCCUGUCUUCCCGA
rnacentral:tRNA from 1 species